AGAGUUUGAUCCUGGCUCAGAGUGAACGCUGGCGGCGUGCCUAAUACAUGCAAGUCGAACGAUGAAGCUUCUAGCUUGCUAGAGUGCUGAUUAGUGGCGCACGGGUGAGUAACGCAUAGGUCAUGUGCCUCUUAGUUUGGGAUAGCCAUUGGAAACGAUGAUUAAUACCAGAUACUCCCUACGGGGGAAAGAUUUAUCGCUAAGAGAUCAGCCUAUGUCCUAUCAGCUUGUUGGUAAGGUAAUGGCUUACCAAGGCUAUGACGGGUAUCCGGCCUGAGAGGGUGAACGGACACACUGGAACUGAGACACGGUCCAGACUCCUACGGGAGGCAGCAGUAGGGAAUAUUGCUCAAUGGGGGAAACCCUGAAGCAGCAACGCCGCGUGGAGGAUGAAGGUUUUAGGAUUGUAAACUCCUUUUGUUAGAGAAGAUAAUGACGGUAUCUAACGAAUAAGCACCGGCUAACUCCGUGCCAGCAGCCGCGGUAAUACGGAGGGUGCAAGCGUUACUCGGAAUCACUGGGCGUAAAGAGCGCGUAGGCGGGAUAGUCAGUCAGGUGUGAAAUCCUAUGGCUUAACCAUAGAACUGCAUUUGAAACUACUAUUCUAGAGUGUGGGAGAGGUAGGUGGAAUUCUUGGUGUAGGGGUAAAAUCCGUAGAGAUCAAGAGGAAUACUCAUUGCGAAGGCGACCUGCUGGAACAUUACUGACGCUGAUUGCGCGAAAGCGUGGGGAGCAAACAGGAUUAGAUACCCUGGUAGUCCACGCCCUAAACGAUGGAUGCUAGUUGUUGGAGGGCUUAGUCUCUCCAGUAAUGCAGCUAACGCAUUAAGCAUCCCGCCUGGGGAGUACGGUCGCAAGAUUAAAACUCAAAGGAAUAGACGGGGACCCGCACAAGCGGUGGAGCAUGUGGUUUAAUUCGAAGAUACACGAAGAACCUUACCUAGGCUUGACAUUGAGAGAAUCCGCUAGAAAUAGUGGAGUGUCUAGCUUGCUAGACCUUGAAAACAGGUGCUGCACGGCUGUCGUCAGCUCGUGUCGUGAGAUGUUGGGUUAAGUCCCGCAACGAGCGCAACCCCCUUUCUUAGUUGCUAACAGGUCAUGCUGAGAACUCUAAGGAUACUGUCUCCGUAAGGAGGAGGAAGGUGGGGACGACGUCAAGUCAUCAUGGCCCUUACGCCUAGGGCUACACACGUGCUACAAUGGGGUGCACAAAGAGAAGCAAUACUGCGAAGUGGAGCCAAUCUUCAAAACGCCUCUCAGUUCGGAUUGUAGGCUGCAACUCGCCUGCAUGAAGCUGGAAUCGCUAGUAAUCGCAAAUCAGCCAUGUUGCGGUGAAUACGUUCCCGGGUCUUGUACUCACCGCCCGUCACACCAUGGGAGUUGUGUUUGCCUUAAGUCAGGAUGCUAAACUAGCUACUGCCCACGGCACACACAGCGACUGGGGUGAAGUCGUAACAAGGUAACCGUAGGUGAACCUGCGGUUG
rnacentral:rRNA from 1 species